GAAUGAGAUAUUCGUAGUAAUAACAAUUUAUAUAUUUUGAAAGAAAUACAUAUACAUUUGAAAUUUUUAAAAUACAGUAUAUGUAAAAAAAUGUAUGAUUUAUUCUAAUAUUAUUAUUUGGCUAAACUAUAUUGGUAAAUAAAUUAUAGAUCAUAUUAAAUGACAGGGGAAAUGAAGAAAAGAGAAUAAGAAAAAAAGCAAAAAAAUUGAAUCAAAGGUUGAGAUUGUUUAUGGACAGAUAUAGUAAUAUCACAUAAUAAUGUAUUGCAUAUUCUAUCCAAAUUGUUCAUAUGGUUAUUUGGUGAUUUUUUUUCUUAUGGUUAUACAUGCUAAUUUCCCUUAUAUAUAAUCAUUUUUGAAUUUAUAUAUAUUUUAAAUGUAAAUUUUCUACCAAAAGCUUGAGAGCAUUGAUAGCAUUGAUCAAAGAUCAGUAAGAGAGUAUUAGCAUUUUGUAAAUGUUAUCCAAAUUCUAUUCCAAUAACUUUUGAUUGGAUAAUAAAGAGGAUGAUGCUUUUACAAUGCUUGUCAAUCAAACAAUCAUA
rnacentral:lncRNA from 1 species